GGCCAACCAUUUUCCCACAGAAUCAUCUAUUGUGUGAGACAUGUCGAGCUCUCAAUGCUUGGAGAAUCCACCAACCCUGAACCCAAACUGUGGGGUCGGUACAGUUAAGGAACUGGGUGGCCUCAAGACUUAUGUCACUGGUCCUCCUGAUUCUAAGCUUGCCAUCCUUCUAGCUAACGACGCCUUUGGGUUUGAAGCACCAAAUUUAAGGAAGCUUGCAGACAAAGUUGCAGCAGCUGGAUUCCUUGUAGUGGUUCCUGAUUUUCUCUAUGGAGAUCCGGCUGAACCAAGUAAUCCUCAAUUUGAUCGAGACACCUGGAUGAAAAAUCAUGACACAGUUAAAGGAUGUGAAGAUGCCAAAAAAGUCAUUGCUGCACUUAAAAGCAGAGGCAUUUCUGCAAUAGGGGCUGCAGGUUUUUGCUGGGGCGGAAUGGUGGUAGUGAAACUAGCGAGUUGUGAUGAUAUUCAGGCUGCAGUGAUAUUGCAUCCUGGUCCGAUUACAGUUGAUGAAAUCAAAGCUGUUAACGUUCCAACUGCUAUAUUGGGUGCUGAAUUUGAUAGUAUUUUCUCAGCUGAACAACUGAAACAAAUAGGAGAAAUUUUAGCAACAAAAGACGAGAUUCAGAGUUAUGUAAAGAUAUUCCCUGGUGUUGCUCAUGGAUGGACAAUGAAGUAUAAUGAUGAGGAUGAUUCAGCUGUCAAGAUUGCUGAAGAAGCUCAUUUAGACAUGUUGAAUUGGUUCAUUAAGCAUGUCAAAUGAGAAUAUGGGUUUCUAUAUAUGAAGAUUGAGAAUUUUGAGUUUGGAAGGCCAGGCAUUGAAUUGGUAUAAGA
rnacentral:misc_RNA from 1 species